rnacentral:lncRNA from 1 species
AUGAAAGCUGAAUACCUUAUCCCCACGCAGGAAGAGGAGAAGUAUGUGAGUCUAAUGCUUGCACCUGCUCAUCAUUGCAACAUUAAAUUGCUCUGGCGUCCACCAUGUAGAACAUCACUAGUGCUGAGACACUUCCUGAUAACUUUUGCCUUAGUCUGUGCCUUCCUGUGUUUUUCUUCUUGUUCGUCGUCCUAACCUCUCUACUGAAGCUAACACAGGUAUUCCACCACUCUUCCGCAAAAUAGGCAAAACAGACACGGAAGAGGGGUUACAAUUCCAUUCUUUUCACUUUAUCAGGGUACACAGAAGAGUUGGGACAGCACACAAGAAGAAAACAAUCUUGAGUCAUCUCAUCUGAGCAGAUGGGCCUUUGUCAGGCCUUUGUGCCAUCGUUUACCAGUAGGUAUCGAGCAUUUAUCCUGAACAUGACAUAGAUUAACCUUGUGGGUAUCUCAUUACAGCAGUAAUACUUCAAUAAUUAAGAUAGCCUUCCAGCUAAAAUUAAAAGUGGCAAUUGACUGGCUUGCUGAAACAUGAUGAGUGAUAAUGCUCAGUUUCUUGAGACACAUUAUAUUCCAAGCUAUGGUGUGAAUACUUACUUAAUGUACUAAAGGCAAUGGAGUGACAGUGUCUUUCUCCUACUUUGUGCCCUGCAUUAGCUCAUGGCUGGGAACAGAAGAAAUUUUAAUUUUAUGGUGUAAUUUUAAGUUUCGUUUUUUAAUUCUAGAAUAUAAACUAGCUUUUCCUCCACAGCUCUUUUGCACUGCCCAUUUUUCUGGUGUAAAUGUAGCAUAAUAUGAGCUGGGGGACAGAGUGUGCUAGAUCGAGCCAUUCUGUAUUCAACCAGUUCUUCAGCUGGCCUUGCAACUGAUUUGGCAACUGGUUGCCAAACCGUUGCACAACUGGUGAUAAAACUGGAAACUGCACUGGAUUUCCUCCUUGCACCUUGUCCAAAACUAGACCAUGUGUAGGGGAGUGUUUAUCAUAGGUUAUUGAUCACAUAGGUUAUUAAUCAAUUCAACACUUUGAAGGAGGCCCAGAAAUUGAUUAAUAGUGAACAGGUUAUUAAUCAAUUCAACACUUUGAAGGAGGCCCAGAAAUUGAUUAAUAGUGAACGGCUUUUGAUGCUGCUGAAUAAAUUAAACUACCACUCUAUAAAAUAAAGAAUG